GAUGAGGUACAAAAUGGAGUAUAGUUCAUGCUUCACAAUUUCACUAUGCCUUUGUUCCAGUCCUGGGUGCGGCCGACCAUGUCUUAUCAGCCACGACGACUUCCUACUACAUUGCUGCCGCAAAACGAAAACGAAAAUUCAGAGAACAGUACGCCAGUAGAUGUUGGAUAUGCUAAUCGCAGGCGUGCUGCUUUCGAAGACAUUACUAACCGAUUUACUCAGUCGUCCAAUUCGAGACAAGAUGACAGUACGCGGGUAGGUGUUGGAUAUAUUGAUCGGAGCCAUGCUGUUCUAGAAGAUAUUACUAACAGAUAUACUCAAUCAUCCAAUUCGACUCAAGUUGGACAUCCCACGCAAAGUAAUCUCACAUUUCAGAGUGCAACACAGCGUGGAGAUACUCCAAAUGUUGAAGGAUCCUCAAACAUUAAGGAAUUUGGAGCAUAUGAGUCUCCAAUCGACAAUUAUGCAUACAAGCGGGAAAAAAAAAAUCAGACUAGAAGGGAGCGAGACCAGGCCCGCCGGGAUAAGCAAACACCUGAGGAGAGGGCGGCCAUCAAUGCCCAUAGACGGGAGCGAGACAGAGCCCGACGAGAUUGUUUGACACCCAACGAGAUUGUGGCAAGAAGGGAGCUAGACAGAGCAUGCCAGGAUAGACAAACACCCGAGGAGAAAGAGGCCAACAAUGCCCGUAGAGCGACACAGAUCAUGCCGGGAAAACCAAACACCCGAGGAGAAGGAGGCCAACAAUACCCAUAGAAGGGAGCGAGACAUAGCUUGCCGGGAUAAGCAAACAUCCGAGGAGAAGGAGGCCAGCAGUGCCCGCAGAAGGGAGCGAGACAGAGCGAAAAGCGCCAGUCGAAUUGCAAAACUUGCAGCCAGGAGAGGCACCCCAUGCCCUGAAUCCAUCGCACUGCCGUGCCCAGAUCAAUCUGCCAACGGCCUGGCGUCGAGCGCUCCAGCGUUGCGUGCAUCCCAAUCGGGGCCUUCAUCGCCAACAUUCACCAUUGGAACCGACAGUAAUCAUCAAAUUUAUGGCCUGCUUCUUUUCCUAGGAUCCUUGGGUUGAUGUUCGCUGACCCAGAUCACAACACAAGUGACAAGGAUGCCUUCCUGAAGCAUCUCAUGCAAGCCGAGGAAGGAACACCCUUUUCCCGCGUUACAUGUGACAAGGACGCUUGCCAAGAUGCCUCUUCCGAUGAGCUGAUGGAUGAUGAGUACUACAUUUUUGCUGUUGAAUGUUCUAAUACCGAAGACAUGGACAUCGACGAGCGAGCGGGGGACUCACCCGUGAGCGAUAUCAUCGACCCAUUCGAUUUCGUCUACUCCAACAUCCCCGACAGAACCCAUAGCCUGAAGCAAGGCGACGACUGCAGACACUGUAAGACCAAGAACUUUGAGUACGAGACGAAAGGUUUCUGCUGUCGGGGAGGAAAGAGAGAGCUCACCAACGCGGUGCCAGAUCCUGACCCAGAGCUUAUGACGCUCUGGUCUAGCGCUGAUGCGGACUCGCGCCAUUUUCUGAACAGCAUUAGGUUCUUCAACGGGCACUUCUCCUUCACGACCCUCAGCGUCAGUCUUGACAACAAGUAUACAAACAUGACUUCUGGGGUGUACACCUUCUGGGCUCACGGAACAAUGUACCAUAACGUACACUUUCGGGGCUGGGUCGAAGCCAGAACAUCUACAACUCUACUUCUACGAUGACGACCCCAGUCUAAGCCAUCGCGCAGAAGCUACCAAGAGACUGGACCAAGAUGUUGUAAGAAGGUGGCCCACAUCAUGAGAGGAAACCUGUACUCCGAGACGUUUAGGAGUCUAGGAGCUUGUGUGGACAGCCUCGCGGAGUACCGCAUCGACCUAAACACUGACAAGAAGCUAGAUCAACGAACAUACAACACUCCGAUUGCUUCGGAGGUGGCCGCUAUCUGGGUGGAGGGCACUGACUUAGCAAGGAGGUUUCAACGCAGCAUCACUCUGUACAGGGACAACAACGAGAGGUAUGGCAUUCAUGCCACGCAAAGCUGCUAUGACCCGCUGUCGUACCCGCUAUUCUUCCCAAAGGGAGAGCUCAGGUGGCAUCCCAACAUCCCCAAACGAGGCGUAAAUUGGGAGGUUGCCCAACGAUCAAGGGCGUCUAGCAGCGACGAUCCAGGGACUACUACUGUUACAAGUUACAGACGCGAUACUGCAUGGAGGACGGCUAUUCCAGUAGUACACAGUCGACAUGUACAUAAAGAUCAAGGGCACCGGGUUGCAAUGGUUUCGGGACAACCAGCCACUGAUUCGAGCUGAACUAUACAAAGGAGUCGUUGAUAGCAUCGCGGCCGGGGAGACUCGAGCCUGCCAGAUCGGCAAAAGGAUUGUACUCCCAUGUUCAUUCCAAGGAGGUGACAGAUGUAUGAAGAGGAGGCACAUGGAUGCAAUGGCAUUGGUGCAAAAGCACAGCAAGCCGAACAUCUUCCUAACAAUGACCUGCAACCCCAAUUGGGACGAGAUAGUCAAAGAGUUGUUGCCAGGCCAGACUCCUCAGGACCGACCGGAUCUGGUCGUGCGGGUAUAUAAAGUGAAGCUUGAAGCCAUGAAAGAUAUGCUUCUGAAGAAACACAUCCUUGGAGUUGUCAAAGCGUAUGUUUACGUGGUCGAGUUCCAAAAGAGAGGCCUCCCACAUGCCCACUUCCUGCUGAUCAUGGAUUCCAGAUAUAAGCUCGUGAUGCCUGAGCAAUAUGACCACCUAAUCUCGGCCGAGCUCCCGGACAAGCACAAGUACCCGGAGCUUUACGCCAUGGUUGUCAAGCACAUGAUGCAUGGCCCGUGUGGUGUUCUCAAAGCCAACAACGUGUGCAUGCAGGACGGGUUGUGUAAGAACAAAUACCCGAGGCCGUUCAACAGUACUACCCUCCAGGGGAAGGACUCCUAUCCAGUGUAUCGUCGACGGGACAACGGUCGCAGUGCUCGUGUCCGAGGCCAGACGCUAGAUAACAGAUGGGUCGUGCCAUACAACCCUUACCUCCUUCGUAUGUUCAAUUGCCACAUUAACGUCGAGGUGUGCUCCAGCAUCAAGGCGGUGAAAUAUGUGUACAAGUACAUCUACAAGGGAGGAGAUCGAACGUCGAUGAAUUUUGAACAGCCUGACAGCAACGGGAACAUCGACGAGAUUAAAAGAUAUGUUGACGCAAGGUGGGUUACUCCAUCAGAAGCUUUAUGGAGGAUCUUUGGGUUCGACCUCUACGAUAACAAUCCGUCGGUACUACAGCUGCCGCUUCAUCUUCCGGGUAUGCAUAUGGUGUCGUUCAACGCAAAUGAGGACCUUAGAGAUGUGGCCGCGCGGGAGAAAGCAUCGAAGUCCAUGCUCACAGAGUAUUUUGAGGCCAACAAAAUACACGAGUGGGCAAGAACUAUACUGUACAAGGAUUUUCCAGAAUGGUUCAGAUGGAUAGCAGGAGAAAAGUAUUGGAAGAAAAGAGAACAACGGCCCCAAGUAGGUCGAAUCGUGUCAGCCCAUCCUGCGGAGGGAGAUAGAUACUUAUGUGAGGGUGCUCCUUAACCAUGUCGCUGGCUCUAAUUCCUUCCAAGACCCGCGGACAGUUGAAGGCCUCCUAUGUCAAACCUUUCGGGAGGCUGCCGAGAAGAGGGGUCUUAUUGAGGCCGACAACACGCUCGACGAGUGCCUCAUGGAGGCGGAACAGUGGGCUAUGCCAUCAUCGCUCCGAAGGCUCUUCGCGACAAUUCUGGUAUUCUGUGAGCCUGGGGAUCCGCGUGGCCUCUGGGAUAGGCACCUUGACGGAAUGUCCGACGACUUCAGACGGUCCCUCACUUGCCCAAUCGAGGUGGAGCAGAAGGUAUUGCUUGAAAUAAGGGGCAUUCUGCAGUCCGUGGGCAAAGAAAUAACGUCCUUCCCUCUUCCGAAUAUCGACGAAACAUACGACGACACUGGGGGCGAGGCUAGGGAGAUAAUCGAGGAGACCAGUAUCCAGGUCGAUGUGGCGGACACUUCUCUAGCGUCCUCCUUUAACUCUGAGCAGAGGUACGCAUACGAUGAGAUACUGGCAGCUGUUGACAGCAAUGCGGGAGGAGUGUUUUUUAUUGAUGGGCCAGGAGGCACCGGGAAGACAUUCUUGUACAGGGCCUUGCUCGCUAAGCUCCGAGGUGAGAAUAAGAUAGCAGUGGCUACAGCGACAGCGGGUAUCGCUGCUUCCAUCAUGCCAGGAGGCAGGACCGCCCACUCGAGGUUCAAGAUACCCCUUAACAUUGAUGAUGGCGCGUCAUGCAGCUUCACAAAACAGAGUGGCACGGCCAAGCUUCUAAGGAUGGCUUCGCGUAUCAUAUGGGAUGAGGCCACAAUGACCAAGCGGCAGGCGAUCGAGGCAUUAGACAAUAGCAUGCACAACAUCAUGGGCCAACGAGACCGGCCUUUCGGCGGGAAGACUGUCGUGUUCGGCGGUGACUUCAGGCAGGUGCUUCCGGUUGUGAGGAAGGGCACACGGGGUCAAAUAAUCGACGCGAGCCUACGUAGUUCCCAUCUAUGGCAGACCAUGCGACAGCUCAAGCUCGUGACAAACAUGAGGGCGCAUGCCGACCCGUGGUUCGCCAACUUCUUAUUGCGCGUCGGUAAUGGCACCGAGGAGGCCGAUGAAGAAGGCAACAUAAAGCUUCCAAAAGACGUUUGUGUGCAGUCUACUGACAAGGAGAGUGACAUACAGAGGCUGAUCGACCAUGUUUUCCCAGCUUUAAACACCAGCAUGGCCGACCUGAACUAUUACUUCUAGAGCUAUCCUCUCCACGAAGAACGACUGCGUCGACAAAAUAAACAUGCGAAUGAUAGAGCGUUUCAAUGGAGAGGAGAGGGUGUACCAUAGCUUUGACAGUGCGGAGGAUGAUCCGCACGGUUACUACCCUCCCGAGUUUUUAAACUCGCUUACCCCGAACGGGCUGCCUCCGCACGUUCUUAAAUUGAAGAUCAACUGCCCUGUUAUACUGCUCAGGAAUAUUGACCCGGUUAACGGAUUGUGCAACAGCACAAGGCUCAUAGUCCGGGGAUUCCAGAGAAAUGCAAUUGAUGCCGAGAUCGUGGUAAGGCAGCAACACGGGAAAAGGGUGUUCCUUCCUCGGAUUCCGCUUUGCCCCUCCGACGAUGACAUGUUUCCGUUCCGUUUCAAGAGGAAGCAGUUCCCGAUUAGACUGAGCUUCGCAAUGACAAUCAACAAAGCACAAGGGCAGAUGAUACCGAUUGUCGGCAUUUACCUACCAAAUCCAGUGUUCUCCCACGGCCAGUUGCAUGUGGCCUUGUCGAGAGCAACAGCAAGAGGGAACAUAAAGAUCCUCGCCAUGCAGGACGAUGAGAAUACGAACAAGGCAAGGGCAAGGAAACCAAAGAAACAAAAGAUGUCCGUGGUGUCUACCACAAAAAACAUUGUGUACAAGGAAGUACUCACUGCAUGAUUGAACUGGAAGAAAAUAACAAGCGUCCAUGGCUACAGUGUUAUUCUCCCUGAGAAGUUGAAAACUGGAAAGUGGAACGUCCACCGAUCUGCAGAGUCACCUCUAUGCUUAAUUAGUUGAUUUCCUUGAUUCGUGAGUGAUGUGCCAGGGCGCCGGUUUCAGGAAAUUGUAUGGACGACCCAGUUGAGGAUGAUUUAACUAAAUGGUGCAGUAAAAGAUGAGUUGUCUGAGAGAGUUUGAGAAAUAGAGCAUGGUAUCUUCAUUCACAGUGAUUCAGUGGUCCGCCACGUCGUCUUGUGUUGGGUUAUUUACAGCAUCCAGGCUUUGAUUCUUUAUUCAGAGUUUCUUGUUCUGAUAUAAGCAUGUAAGAAACUUGUAGUACGUGAUUUCUGUAAAAUUAUGCCUUUCAACAGAGAAGAUGUAUGUAGCUUUUUCCUAUGUUCUGUUAUUUACAGCAUCAUUAAACUUCUA